rfam:Eimeria necatrix Houghton genomic scaffold, Enh_scaff1351
CUACCGCAGCUGCUGCAGCUGCUGCAGCUACUGCAGCUACUGCAGCUGCUGCAGCUGCUGCAGCUGCUGCAGCUACUGCAGCUACUGCAGCUACUGCAGCUACUGCAGCUACUGCAGCUACCGCAGCUGCUGCAGCUGCUGCAGCUGCUGCAGCUACUGCAGCUACUGCAGCUGCUGCAGCUACCGCAGCUGCUGCAGCUGCUGCAGCUGCUGCAGCUGCUGCAGCUACUGCAGCUGCUGCAGCUGCUGCAGCUGCUGCAGCUGCUGCAGCUACUGCAGCUACUGCAGCUGCUGCAGCUG